ACUCUUGGACAGCCUUCUGAAAGGAAGAUUAAUACAAGAUGGCAUCAUGAGUUCACAUGUUCACAUGAUUAAAGGUAUUCCGGUAGACGAUGGGGAUGCGUUCCAUUAGAUAGUAGGCGGGGUAACGGCCCACCUAGUCUUCGAUGGAUAGGGGUUCUGAGAGGAAGGUCCCCCACAUUGGAACUGAGACACGGUCCAAACUCCUACGGGAGGCAGCAGUGAGGAAUAUUGGUCAAUGGGCGAGAGCCUGAACCAGCCAAGUAGCGUGAAGGAUGACUGCCCUAUGGGUUGUAAACUUCUUUUAUAAAGGAAUAAAGUCGGGUAUGGAUACCCGUUUGCAUGUACUUUAUGAAUAAGGAUCGGCUAACUCCGUGCCAGCAGCCGCGGUAAUACGGAGGAUCCGAGCGUUAUCCGGAUUUAUUGGGUUUAAAGGGAGCGUAGAUGGAUGUUUAAGUCAGUUGUGAAAGUUUGCGGCUCAACCGUAAAAUUGCAGUUGAUACUGGAUAUCUUGAGUGCAGUUGAGGCAGGCGGAAUUCGUGGUGUAGCGGUGAAAUGCUUAGAUAUCACGAAGAACUCCGAUUGCGAAGGCAGCCUGCUAAGCUGCAACUGACAUUGAGGCUCGAAAGUGUGGGUAUCAGACAGGAUUAGAUACCCUGGUAGUCCACACGGUAAACGA
rnacentral:rRNA from 1 species